rnacentral:rRNA from 1 species
UACGUAGGGUGCGAGCGUUGUCCGGAAUUAUUGGGCGUAAAGAGCUCGUAGGCGGUUUGUCACGUCUGCUGUGAAAUCCCGAGGCUCAACCUCGGGCCUGCAGUGGGUACGGGCAGACUGGAGUGCGGUAGGGGAGAAUGGAAUUCCUGGUGUAGCGGUGGAAUGCGCAGAUAUCAGGAGGAACACCGAUGGCGAAGGCAGUUCUCUGGGCCGUACUGACGCUGAGGAGCGAAAGCGUGGGGAGCGAACAGG